CCUACCUUAGCUCAGUUGGUAGAGCGAAGGACUGUAGAUCCUUAGGUCAUUGGUUCGAAUCCGGUAGGUCGGA